rnacentral:misc_RNA from 1 species
UUAAAAAGUGUAGUUGUUUUCAUCGUGUUUUGGUCCAUAAAGGAUCAAACUGUUUAAUUUUGAAAAAGGAGAGAUCAAAGUGUAUAUUAUUCUGAACAUCAUUUUUUUUCAAUAAAAAAAUUGUUAUUACAAUAGGCUAAUCUAUAGCUGUUUGGACAUGUGAAAAGAAAAAAAAAUGGAAGUAUGUCUAACCCAGACGUAUUGCUUUAACACUUCUAAAGGAUAUCCUCACGCAUCAUUUAGAAUAAGAGAACUACUCAACUUGCCUUUUCAGUUAGAAUUGAAAUAAGAUCUGCUUGAGCUUUUUCCAAGGCACUUGAUAAAUUCUCAGGUUUCUUCCCACCUGCUUGAGCAAAAUUAGGCCUGCCACCACCUCCUCCACCACACAACUUUGCUAUAGGCCCUAUAAAUUUUCCUGCCUGAACACCCAUAUCAACAACCCCUGGAGUAAAAGCAGCAACUAAACUCACCUUCCCCUUAUCCGGACCGGAGCCCAAAACCACAGCUGCUGGAUCUUGUAGCACAUCAAUCAGAUAUUCAGCUGCACUCUUAAGUGAAUCAGCAUCAACAUCAUCCAUGCUUUCAACUAGAACCCUAAUUUUUUUUGAAGUUCCCACUAAGAAUGCCUUGCUUGCAAUAAUUGAUGCUUUGCACGCUGCUGCUUUUGCACGCAAUGCUGAAACUUCAUUUCUUGCAAUUCGUAACUCCUCUAGGAGAUUUUCUACCCUGGAUGUCAACUCUUCAGCUUUCACCUUGAGAGUGGAGCAAAGACGUUUCACCUGGGCAUCUCUUGCAUUUAUGUAUUCAAUGAAAGCUUCACCGGCCACGGCUUCUAUACGCCUGAUUCCUGAUGCAAUUCCCUGCUCUGAGAUUAUUUUGAAAGCACGUAUUUCGGCAGUAUUGCUGACAUGGGUUCCUCCACAAAGUUCCAACGAUACACCUGGAACCUCUACAACUCGCACCUGUUCUCCAUAUUUUUCUCCAAACAUUGCAAUAGCCCCCGCUUUUUUGGCAUCAUUAAGUGACAUCACCUUGGUUUGAAGAAGUGUUGCAUCCCCAAUCCAUCCAUUUAUUAAUCUUUCAAUUUCCUCCAGCUCAGUAUCAAGAAGCGGUCUAUGAAAGUUAAAAUCAAACCUGAGACGAUCAAAAGCCACCAGUGAACCAGCUUGUGAUGUUUCAUUGCCAAUAACUUUCUUUAGUGCAGAUUGUAAUAAAUGAGUAGUGGUAUGAUGAACCUUGGCUCGCUGUCGCAAUUUUGGAUCUACUGCAGCUUCUACUUCUCUGCCAACCUCUAGAACUCCCUCUUUGAUAGUGCCCUUAUGAAUAAAUACAUUGCCUAGAGAUUUUUGAACGUCUUUUAUUUCCACAACAGCUACAGGUUUGCUUUCACCUCCGGUAACAUAUAGAAAACCAUGAUCCCCAAUUUGACCACCAGAUUCUGCAUAAAAUGGCGUCUUAUCCAGCAAAACUUCUACUUCACUUCCUUCAGCCACCUGUAUCACUGACUUCCCAUUUACCAAGAGACUUUCAAUGAUUGCUCUUGCAGAAAGCAUGUCAUACCCUAGAAAUUCAGUAUCAGAAACAAUUUCAGAAAGAUCUCCAUUUUCCACUGCAAUUUUAACAACAUUGUGUGCAGCCUGAGAUUGUCGCCUUUGCUUUUCCAUCUCAAUCUCAAAACCAUCUGCAUCUAUUUUGACACCAUGUUCUCCAGCAACUUCUGCUGUUAUCUCAACUGGAAAUCCAUAUGUGUCAUAUAGAAGAAAUACAUCUUUUCCAGAUAAACAAGGUACAGUUCCAUUUUUAUGACCACUUGAUAAUGCAUCUGCUAGCAUUUGGUCAAGCAACUUUUCUCCUCUCUCCAGUGUCUGCACAAAACGAAGUUCUUCCCUUUGUAGCUCUUCAAGAAUGUGGGAUGCUCUAGUCUUCACAUCUGAAUCAACAUAAGUGCUCAAUUCUAUUACUUUCUCUGCAAUGGCAGGUAAAAAUGCUGCUUCUAGAUUACUUUUACCAUCCCCCUUUACACCAAUCAACCUGCUAGAACGAACAGCCCUUCUAAUGAGCCGGCGGACCACAUAGCCUCUACCAAUAUUUGAUGGGAGUACUCCAUCUGAUAUGAGAUAUACAAUUGCGCGCAAAUGAUCUCCUAUAAUUUUAAGGUUCAUUUUUGUCUGAUCAUCAGCUAGAGCAUAUGAUAUAUUUGCCAGUUCUGAGGCCUUCUCAAUAAUGGGAUAAAUCAAGUCAGUCUCAUAAUUGUUUGGAACCUUUUGAAGGAUGCGAGCCAGACGCUCUAGGCCAAGACCAGUAUCUAUGUUCUUUUGUUUUAAGGGUUCAAGUGAGCCAUCAUCCAUUUUAUUGUACUGCAUGAAAACUAGAUUAUAGAACUCUAUAAACCUAGUAUCAUCUCCAAGAUCCACAUCCAAAUAUCCCAUUUCAGGAUGAAAAUCAUAAUAGAGCUCCGAGCACGGACCACAAGGACCAGUAAUCCCACUGGUCCAAAAGUUGUCUUCUUCACCCAUCCUUUUUAUGUGCUCAACGGGAACACCCACCUCAUCAUGCCAUAUUUCAAAAGCUUCAUCAUCAUUUUCAUAUACGCUGACCCAUAAUCUGUCACCUGGUAGCCCAAAUUCCUUUGUUGAAAGCUCCCAUGCCCAUUUAAUUGCUUCUUUCUUGAAGUAAUCUCCGAAACUGAAGUUCCCAAGCAUCUCGAAAAAAGUAUGAUGUCGGGCUGUUCGGCCAACAUUCUCCACAUCAUUUGUGCGAAUGCACCUUUGAGCUGUUGUAGCUCGAGGUACUUGUUUGGGAGCCUUUCCGAGGAAUACAAGCUUGAACUGAAGCAUUCCUGCAAUUGUCAAAAGAACAGUAGGAUCAUCCGGCACAAGAGAAGCACUUGGGAGAACCUUAUGGCCCCGUGAAGCAUAGAAAUCAAGAAACCGGCUGCGUAUGGAAUCCCCACUUACAGGGUUUUCCUGAGUCUUAUCCUCCAUCAAUUCCUCUGUCACAGGCUGUACCGACGCUCGUAUACUUCUUGUCCUGAACCGCAUGCCACGUGCUCCUUGUAAAACAGAGCGUCCACUGGUCAACAUACUAGGAUAAAAAAGGGAUAUAGUUCUUGUAUUAUAACCAAACCCAUAGAUUUGCAGCUUCCAAUUUUCCACAUAUGUUCAUGCUCAUCCAUAUCCCAGCUCUCUCCCCCUCUCAGACCCAAUCUGACACAAUCAUGAAGACUCAACAACAAACACCUUCUCUGCUAAAUAACUCAACGACAGAUAUCGCUACCCAAGUUAGAAAUUUAACCAUUAGAAUCAAAUUAACGAAGUUAGAGAGUAAGGAACUUUACCAUUGGAGAAAGCAGAGGUGCAAUUUGGUUGAACAGCAAAGUUUGGUUUGAGAAAAGAGAUUGGAGAAGGGAUGAAAGAGAUAAGAGAUUUCCCACCAUGGAUGCUGUGCAGAGCGUGUGGAGGCAAAUGCAGGCAGCCCAUUGGCUCUCCCUAUCAAAUUCUUCCUACCUUCUCUAGGAGCGACUGAAUUCUACCUCUUGUUUGGCUGUUCUGUUUUCAAACAGGCUGUUGUAAAUUGGCUCUCAAGCAGGGAAAGAUAAGCCUUUUUGAGGUGUCGGAAUAUUUACCUGUC